CCUAUAUGGCCCCUGGAUUGGACUGCGGCCGAUCAGGCUGCUGGUGAGGUAAUGGCCCACCAAACCUGUAACCGGUACGGGCUCUGAGAGGAGGAGCCCGGAGAUGGGCACUGAGACAAGGGCCCAGGCCCUAUGGGGCGCAGCAGGCGCGAAACCUCUGCAAUAGGCGAAAGCUUGACAGGGUUACUCUGAGUGAUUUCCGUUAAGGAGAUCUUUUGGCACCUCUAAAAAUGGUGCAGAAUAAGGGGUGGGCAAGUCUGGUGUCAGCCGCCGCGGUAAUACCAGCACCCCGAGUGGUCGGGACGUUUAUUGGGCCUAAAGCAUCCGUAGCCGGUUCUACAAGUCUUCCGUUAAAUCCACCUGCUUAACAGAUGGGCUGCGGAAGAUACUAUGGAGCUAGGAGGCGGGAGAGGCAAGCGGUACUCGAUGGGUAGGGGUAAAAUCCGUUGAUCCAUUGAAGACCACCAGUGGCGAAGGCGGCUUGCCAGAACGCGCUCGACGGUGAGGGAUGAAAGCUGGGGGAGCAAACCGGAUUAGAUACCCGGGUAGUCCCAGCUGUAAACGAUGCAGACUCGG
rnacentral:rRNA from 1 species